UCAGGACGAACGCUGGCGGCGUGCCUAAUACAUGCAAGUCGUACGCUUCUUUUUCCACCGGAGCUUGCUCCACCGGAAAAAGAAGAGUGGCGAACGGGUGAGUAACACGUGGGUAACCUGCCCAUCAGAAGGGGAUAACACUUGGAAACAGGUGCUAAUACCGUAUAACAAUCGAAACCGCAUGGUUUUGAUUUGAAAGGCGCUUUCGGGUGUCGCUGAUGGAUGGACCCGCGGUGCAUUAGCUAGUUGGUGAGGUAACGGCUCACCAAGGCCACGAUGCAUAGCCGACCUGAGAGGGUGAUCGGCCACAUUGGGACUGAGACACGGCCCAAACUCCUACGGGAGGCAGCAGUAGGGAAUCUUCGGCAAUGGACGAAAGUCUGACCGAGCAACGCCGCGUGAGUGAAGAAGGUUUUCGGAUCGUAAAACUCUGUUGUUAGAGAAGAACAAGGAUGAGAGUAACUGUUCAUCCCUUGACGGUAUCUAACCAGAAAGCCACGGCUAACUACGUGCCAGCAGCCGCGGUAAUACGUAGGUGGCAAGCGUUGUCCGGAUUUAUUGGGCGUAAAGCGAGCGCAGGCGGUUUCUUAAGUCUGAUGUGAAAGCCCCCGGCUCAACCGGGGAGGGUCAUUGGAAACUGGGAGACUUGAGUGCAGAAGAGGAGAGUGGAAUUCCAUGUGUAGCGGUGAAAUGCGUAGAUAUAUGGAGGAACACCAGUGGCGAAGGCGGCUCUCUGGUCUGUAACUGACGCUGAGGCUCGA
rnacentral:rRNA from 1 species